rnacentral:tRNA from 1 species
GUGGUUAUAGCUCAGUGGUAAAGCACAUGCUUAGCAUGCACAAGGUCCUGGAUUCAAUUCCCAGUACCUCCG